UUCUUUAAGAAAAUAAUUUAAAGUAAAGCCUGCUCAAUGAAAAAUAAAUAGCCGCAGACCUCUGUGCUAAGGUAGCAUAAUCAUUAGCUUUUUAAUUAAAAGAUAGAAUGAAUGGCUAAACGAAACAUAAUCUUUUUUUCAAAUAAAAAAUAAAUUUAAAACAGAAGUAAAAAUUCUUCUAAUAAUAAGAAAGACGAUAAGACCCUAUAAACUUAAAUAAUUAGCUGGGGCAGCUUUUCAAAAAAACUUUGAUUUUAACUAAUUUAACUAAACAAAUACAAUUUAUAUAGAAUAGUUACUAUAGGGAUAACAGCGCUACUUUUUUUUCAAGCUCUUAUAAAAAAAAAUCCUACGACCUCGAUGUUGAAUUACGAUCCUCCACCACGCAAAAUUUGUGAAAGGUAGUCUGUUCGACUAUUUAAAACGU
rnacentral:rRNA from 1 species